UUGCCUGUUACACGGGGCUAACUUAUUGAAAGGUUUCUGUUCGCUUAGAUUAGUGGAUUUGUGUGUUGUGUUUUGGCUUCGUGAACAGAAGAUUCAGGAGACUGGAAUUUCCAUUCUACUUUCACAAUGACGGUGUAUAACGGGAACAAGUCACUGAGUAUUUUAUCUGUAAGUCUUUGGAUAAAAUGUACUGCAUCCAAGGGUAACUUGGCUAAAAAUUUGUCACCAUGGACUGCCAAGGUUCAUUUGACAGACUUGGCCAACUUGGGUAUCAUGAUCAGAAAAACAAAAUGAGAAUCCACCAUCCAAAAAACAAAAAAGAAAUUAUUUGGGUCAUUGAAUAUCAAGGGGAAGAAAUAAAAGGAAAUGAUUAGUCUCAGGAGAAUCUAGCAGACUUCACAGAGGGGACAAGUGUGCCACUGAUGUCUUCCCUUAGCCUCUCCUCUCCAGAAUUUUUCCAGGAGGGAAUCAGAUACUGGUACUUGUGUCUACCAAACUCCAGAGAACCCUAGCCAAGCCAUCCAACUAAUUUUCUUGAAUCUUCAUAUUUGGAUCAAGAGUUACUGGACGUUUAAAUUUGCAUAUAUGGUUGGCAUUAUAUUUCUAUUGGACAGCAUUGUUCUAUUUAAUUGCCUUAAAAAAAGGAGAUUUCGAGGAGGAGUCAAGAUGGCGGAGAAGUAACAGGCUGAGACUACUUCAGCUAGCAGGAGAUCAGCUAGAUAGCUUAUCUAAAGAUUGCAAACACCUGAAAAUCCAUUAGCAGAUUGAAGAGAAGAAGAACAGCAAUUCUGGAAACAGAAAAACAACCACUUUCUGAAAGUAGGCUCCACACCCAACAUGGAGACCAACAUGGUGCUUGAAUUCACCACCCUGAGAUCAAGACCUGAUCUGAGAUCAAGAGUCGGAGGCUCAACUGAUUGGGUCAGCCAGACAUCCCUCCCAGAAUAACUCUAAAGGUUGGUUAUAUCACAAAGAAAUCUCUCCAAAUUCAUUUGGCAGUAUUUAGAUCAGAAACAAAUCAAGAGAAACCAGCAACUUCAUAACUUUUGAAAUACUCCAUGCUAUGUCCUAUCAGUGUCAAGGUCUGAAGUAGCCUAGGUCACAGAUAGGCUAUUAGUUAGUGUGGUCUUUUUUAAAUAAAUGAUUCUUUUCACCAGAAGAUCUGCUAAUCCAUGAAGAAAUGACACCUUUUAAAAUGUAAACAGUCACAUAUUGGGUUAUGGACAUUGGGGAAGGUAUGUGCUAUGAUGAGUGCUGUGAAGUGUGUAAACCUGGCGAUGAUUCGCAGACAUGUACACCUGGAGCUAAUAAUACAUUGUAUGUUAAUAAAAAAUUAAAAAUUAAAAAAAAACAGACAUAUCAUCAGUCUUUCUUUUAAUGCCUGACAAAGGAGUCAGGGAGAUUGCCACCAAUAUGCCAUUCAUUCUAACUGUUCCAUAAAUAUUUG